rnacentral:tRNA from 1 species
GAGGGUAUAGCUCAGUGGUAGAGCCCGGGCUUAACAGGCAUGAGGUUCUGGGUUCAAUCCCCAGUACCUCUG